CCUACGGGGGGCUGCAGUGGGGAAUAUUGGACAAUGGGCGAAAGCCUGAUCCAGCCAUGCCGCGUGUGUGAAGAAGGCCUUCGGGUUGUAAAGCACUUUCAGUGGGGAAGAAAGCCUUGGGGCUAAUACCCUCGAGGAAGGACAUCACCCACAGAAGAAGCACCGGCUAACUCCGUACCAGCAGCCGCGGUAAUACGGAGGGUGCGAGCGUUAAUCGGAAUUACUGGGCGUAAAGCGCGCGUAGGCGGUCUGAUAAGCCGGUUGUGAAAGCCCCGGGCUCAACCUGGGAACGGCAUCCGGAACUGUCAGGCUAGAGUGCAGGAGAGGAAGGUAGAAUUCCCGGUGUAGCGGUGAAAUGCGUAGAGAUCGGGAGGAAUACCAGUGGCGAAGGCGGCCUUCUGGACUGACACUGACGCUGAGGUGCGAAAGCGUGGGUAGCAAACAGGAUUAGAUACCCGGGUAGUC
rnacentral:rRNA from 1 species